UAACACAUGCAAGUCGAGCGAGGUAGCAAUACCUAGCGGCAGACGGGUGCGUAACAUGGUGGGAAUCUGCCUUUUGGUUCGGAACAACACGGGGAAACCUGUGCUAAUACCGGAUAAGUCCUUACGGAGUAAAGUUUUAAUGACCAAAAGAUGAGCCCGCAUUUGAUUAGCUAGUUGGUGAGAUAAAGCUCACCAAGGCGAUAAUCAAUAGCUGUAUUUGAGAGGAUGAUCAGCCACACGUGGGACUGAGAUACGGCCCAGACUCC
rnacentral:rRNA from 2 species